rnacentral:lncRNA from 1 species
GAAAGAAGUUUAGCCUGCCCUUCAUGCUCACUGUGCUUUAUUGACACUGCGAAGAGGAUGCUGACAGCCUGAAGCUCUGUUUCUUCCUGAGAACUGAAGCUACUUCAUCUCAAGAGAGACAGAGGAAAACUUCAGUGAUCUGCCAAGUCACCAGAAAGACCAAGGAGUUGCCCAGGAUCUCCCAGCUCCUGACUCUGGUUGGCCGUGUGACUUGCUGGGGCCAGUGGGAUGCUGGCAGAGCAAUACAAGCAGCAGGGAGGAGGACGAGGAGGAUAAGAGACACAUGGAGCAGAGCCCUCUCAGGAGCCCCAACCAACCCAUGCAUCCAUGAGGGUGGAUUCCAAGAUGGCGCCGUGAGUAGUCCUCUUUGUCUCUCGCCCUUCGAGUCUACAAUUAUUUGGACACUUAUCGCUUGACAAAGGAUAUCCAGACAGCAUCUCAGGACGUCUGAGACACCCACGCGACUAUACAUCGGAAGGCGGACGGACUUUCCUCCGGGAGGAUGUGGAAAUAGGUGAAAACUCUCCGACCCCGACGGGCAGCCUAGUACCCGCAAGCGGCUUUCUUCCAACGGACGCCCCCAGAGGAUCCACACACAUCUAGGGCAGGAGCGAGA